AGUGAACGCUGGCGGCGUGCCUAAUACAUGCAAGUCGAACGGAGUGGCGCACGGGUGAGUAAUAUAUAGCUAAUCUGACCCUUGCUGGAGGACAACAGUUAGAACUGACUGCUAAUACUCCAUAGAAAGGGAUGAGACUAUAUCGUAUCAGCUAGUCGGUGGGGUAACGGCGGACCUAGGCUAUGACGCGUAACUGGUCUGAGAGGAUGAUCAGUCACAUUCGACCGGAGGCACGGUCCAAAAUCCUACGGGAGGCAGCAGUAGGGAAUAUUGCGCAAUGCGGGAAACCCUGACGGAGCAACGCCGCGUGGAGGAUGACACUUUUCGGAUCGUAAGCUCCUUUUGUUAGGGAAGCGGUACCUAACGAAUAAGCACCGGCUAACUCCGUGCCAGCAGCCGCGGUAAUUC
rnacentral:rRNA from 1 species